ensembl:lncRNA
ACACUCACACACACACACACACACACACACACACACACACACUCACACACACAUUUUACAGGAUUUACAGGAAGACUUGAAACGUAAUCCAGAGGAGAGCAGAUUCACAGACAGGGGACGAUAAACAACGCAGGUCAGACAGGACGAGGAGGACGAGAUGCACCUCACCAUGAGACACUAACAAACUUCACUCGCGCUCUGCAGAGCUUUUCCCUGGGUAAGGCAGAGACUUGAUUCAGACUCCGGCACUGACUUCCUCAGGACCACACCGCAUUUACUUUAGCUGAAUGCUCAAAUCUGAUUGGUCAGAAGCUAUACGUUAUUUUUAAUAUACAGCAGUUCCGGCUCUAAGGUGAUCGUUAGCUGUAGG